rnacentral:rRNA from 1 species
UACGUAGGGACCGAGCGUUGUCCGGAUUCAUUGGGCGUAAAGAGCUCGUAGGCGGCCACUCAAGUCGAAUGUGAAACCUCGAGGCUUAACCUCGAGCCUGCAUUCGAUACUGGGCGGCUAGAGUCUGGUAGGGGGAUCUGGAAUUCCUGGUGUAGCGGUGGAAUGCGCAGAUAUCAGGAGGAACACCGGUGGCGAAGGCGGCUCACUGGCCCGGUACUGACGCUCAUGUGCGAAAGCGUGGGGAGCAAACAGG